GGAUCCAGACUUUGAUUCUGGCUCAGGAUGAACGCUGGCGGCGUGCCUAACACAUGCAAGUCGAACGGAGUUAUGAUGUGAGCGGGAAGUGCUUGCACUAAACAAUCUUUUCAUAACUUAGUGGCGGACGGGUGAGUAACGCGUGGGUAACCUGCCCUGUACUGGGGGACAACAGUUGGAAACGACUGCUAAUACCGCAUAAGCGCACGGGAUCGCAUGAUCCAGUGUGAAAAACUCCGGUGGUACAGGAUGGACCCGCGUCUGAUUAGCUGGUUGGUGAGGUAACGGCCCACCAAGGCAACGAUCAGUAGCCGGCCUGAGAGGGUGAACGGCCACAUUGGGACUGAGACACGGCCCAAACUCCUACGGGAGGCAGCAGUGGGGAAUAUUGCACAAUGGGGGAAACCCUGAUGCAGCGACGCCGCGUGAGUGAAGAAGUAUUUCGGUAUGUAAAGCUCUAUCAGCAGGGAAGAAAAUGACGGUACCUGACUAAGAAGCCCCGGCUAACUACGUGCCAGCAGCCGCGGUAAUACGUAGGGGGCAAGCGUUAUCCGGAUUUACUGGGUGUAAAGGGAGCGUAGACGGCAUGGCAAGUCUGAAGUGAAAUGCGGGGGCUCAACCCCUGAACUGCUUUGGAAACUGUCAGGCUGGAGUGCAGGAGAGGUAAGUGGAAUUCCUAGUGUAGCGGUGAAAUGCGUAGAUAUUAGGAGGAACACCAGUGGCGAAGGCGGCUUACUGGACUGUAACUGACGUUGAGGCUCGAAAGCGUGGGGAGCAAACAGGAUUAGAUACCCUGGUAGUCCACGCCGUAAACGAUGAUUACUAGGUGUUGGGGAUUUAUAAAUCCUCGGUGCCGUCGCAAACGCAAUAAGUAAUCCACCUGGGGAGUACGUUCGCAAGAAUGCAACUCAAAUGAAUUGACGG
rnacentral:rRNA from 1 species